rnacentral:rRNA from 1 species
CCUACGGGAGACAGCAGUGGGGAAUAUUGGGCAAUGGACGCAAGUCUGACCCAGCAAAGCCGCGUGAAGGAAGAAGGCUCUCGGGUUGUAAACUUCUUUUAAGCGGGAAGAGCAGAAGACGGUACCUCUUGAAUAAGCCACGGCUAACUACGUGCCAGCAGCCGCGGUAGUACGUAGGGUGCAAGAGUUGUCCGGAAUUACUGGGUGUAAAGGGCGUGCAGCCGGGGAGACAUGUCCGAUGUGAAAUCCACGGGCUCAACCCGGGAACUGCAUUUGAAACUGGUCGCCUUGUGUGUCGGAGAGGUAAGCGGAAUGCCUUGUGUAGCGGUGAAAUGCGUAGAUAUAAGGAAGAACACCAGUGGCGAAGGCAGAUUACUGGACGAUAACUGACGGUGAGGCGCGAAAGCGUGGGGAGCAAACAGGAUUAGAUACCCGUGUAGUC